rnacentral:lncRNA from 1 species
CCCAUCUACAACCUUGAAAAAAAUGCAUUAGCCCAUUGUGCAGGCUGAGUACUUAAGAUCCAAUCCCUGGCCAAUGGCAUCUUAGAGACUAUGUCAUGAAAGUAUCGUUCGAACUCCAUUCGUGUUGUAGCAUACGCGAGAGACUUGAAACUGCACACCAAUAUUUUUUAUGUAAUACUGGAUAUUUGGUCAACACCUGAAAGUGGUACCAGUAAGCAUAUAUUAGAAACAUCUCCCACGUGCC